rnacentral:rRNA from 1 species
UUGCACGCUGGCGGCAUGCUUUACACAUGCAAGUCGAACGGUAACAGGCCUUCGGGUGCUGACGAGUGGCGAACGGGUGAGUAAUGCAUCGGAACGUGCCCUGAGGUGGGGGAUAACGCAGCGAAAGCUGUGCUAAUACCGCAUGUGAUCUGAGGAUGAAAGCGGGGGACCAAGCAGCAAUGUUUGGCCUCGCGCCUCUGGAGCGGCCGAUGUCAGAUUAGGUAGUUGGUGGGGUAAAGGCCUACCAAGCCGACGAUCUGUAGCUGGUCUGAGAGGACGACCAGCCACACUGGGACUGAGACACGGCCCAGACUCCUACGGGAGGCAGCAGUGGGGAAUUUUGGACAAUGGGCGCAAGCCUGAUCCAGCAAUGCCGCGUGCGGGAAGAAGGCCUUCGGGUUGUAAAACGCUUUUGUACGGAACGAAAAGGCUCUGGCUAAUACCUGGGGCUGAUGACGGUACCGUAAGAAUAAGCACCGGCUAACUACGUG